rnacentral:lncRNA from 1 species
UCUUAGGGGCAUCAAGUCUCAAGAACAUUAUCCACAUUUAAGACUAAAAGUACAAAAUUCAUAAUGAUUAUUGAUUUCAUUUCUGGUCAAUAACUUCCAAUUAUACCAUCAAAAAUUUUGAAAGGGCCAUUAUGUCUCAAGAACACCAUCCAAAUUUUACUAUCAAUACAAAAUUCAGUUAGUGAUUUAAUUUAGGGUCAACAACCCUUAAGUAUACCAUUAUGAUUUUUGGAAGGACCGUCAAGUCUCACAAACAUCAUCCACAUUUCACGAUAUGAACACAAAGUUCAUAUAGCAAUUAUAUUUAGGGUAAAUAACCGCCAAUUAUAUCAUCUUGAUUUUUGAAAGGGAUGUCAAGUCUUAGAACAUUGUCCACAUUUCACACUAUGAGUGCAAAAUUCAUAGUGAUUUCAUUUAGGGUCAAUAACUACCGAUUUUAGCAUCUCAAAGUUUGAAAGAAUCGUUAAUUCUCAUGAACAUUGUUCAGUUUACAUUGUCAAUACAAAAUUGACAUAGUGAUUUCAUUUAGGGUCAACAACCAUCAAGUAUACAAUACCAUCCUGAUUUUCGAAAUGGACGUCAAGUCUCAAGGACAUGAUCCACAUUUCACGCUAUGAACACAAAGUUCAUAUAGCAUUUAGGGUAAAUAACCUUCGAUUUUACCAUCUCGAUUUUUGAAAGGGACAUCAAUUCUAAAAAACAUUGUCCACAUUUCACACUGUAAGUGCAAAUUUGUAGAGAUUUCGUUUAGAGUCAAUAACAACCAAUUUUACCAUCUUAAUUUUUGAAAUGGUCGUUAAGUCUAAAGAAUAUUCACAGUUGUCAAUACAAAAUUGACAUAGUGAUUUCAUUUAGGGUCAACAACCAUCAAGUAUACAAUACCAUCCUGAUUUUCGAAAUGGAUGUCAAGUCUCAAGGACAUGAUCCACACUUCACGCUAUGAACACAAAGUUCAUAUAGCAUUUAGGGUAAAUAACCUUCGAUUUUACCAUCUCGAUUUUUGAAAGGGACGUCAAUUCUAAAAAACAUUGUCCACAUUUCACACUGUAAGUGCAAAUUUGUAGAGAUUUCGUUUAGGGUCAAUAACAACCAAUUUUACCAUCUUAAUUUUUGAAAUGGUCGUUAAGUCUAAAGAAUAUUCAACAUUUCACGAUAUGAACACAAAGUUCAUAUAGCAAUUAUAUUUAGGGUAAAUAACCGCCAAUUAUAUCAUCUUGAUUUUUGAAAGGGAUGUCAAGUCUUAGAACAUUGUCCACAUUUCACACUAUGAGUGCAAAAUUCAUAGUGAUUUCAUUU